rnacentral:snRNA from 1 species
GAGCUCGCUUCUUCAACACAUAUACUAAAAUUGGAACGACACACAGAAGAUCAGCAUGGACCUGUGCAAUGAUUACAAACAAAUUAUUGAAGCAUUCCAUAUUUUU